CUGCUGUCGACAGGGCGUGUUUUUAUUGUUAACGUGGAACUUUGUCAGAAAAUCCACGUUAUUGUUUGUUUUUGUAUCAAAUGAAGCUCGAUGUUGGUUUACAUUUGUUUACAAACUAAGACAAAGACAUGGACGGACACAGCCGCGGUCUCCUGGACGUCCAUGUCCCCGCUCACGUGACGAACAUGUCGGACAUGAACCGAGCGAAGCCUGGCGGCUGUGAUGACGGAGCUUUGAUUGACAGUGAUAAGAUUCCGUGAACUUGUUACCUGAUGAACUUCCUGCUGGACGCCACAGUGGGCAUGCUGCUCAUCUGGUCGUAGCUGGGGGAGAAAGCUGGUCGUAGCUGGUGUUUGGAGAAUAUGGCGAGAAUCCCCAGGCAGCAGCGUUUACCUGCUCAUCAUGGUUCUGGAGAAAGGUGCCGUCACUGUGGUGCUGCUCGUGCCCGGGUGGUCCAAAGUAAGGAAAGUAUCACGGUGCUAGACAGGUGUCGCAGAACAAGACAGAAUAAGACAUAAUAAGAAAUAAGACAGAAAAUAAGACAGAAGACAUUAUUCAUUAUUGUGCAUGAACCAGAAAUGUUUCUGUGUGGAUGUAAACAAGGUCAUGUGAUCUUUGAGCAGCAGAACAUUAGAUUUAAUGAAUGAAACAUUUCACUUCAAAUCAUAAACAUUCAACAUCAAAGAAAAAAAAGAUGUGGAGAGAGUGAGUCACAGAAAGUUUUCUGAAACAACGCUGACAUUUAACAGGUUUCCACUCUGAUGUGACAAAGGACAGAGGACUAUUGACUGAGAUGUGUGUGUGUGUCUGUGUGAAUGUAAAUCAAAGGUUAAAGUUAUGAGAUAAUCUCACAGUGAAGUUAUUUAAUAAUCCUUCAGCAGCAGAACAUCUUCACUCCUGUCACUGUGAGGAAACAUCUGGUUGUCUUCAUCAGCAGAACAUCUUCACUUUUGUAUCUUCACUCCUGUCACUGUGAAGAAACAUCUGGUUAUCUUAAUCAGUAGAACAUCUUCACUUCUGUAUCUUCACUCCUGUCACUGUGAGGAAACAUCUGGUUAUCUUCAUCAGCAGAACAUCUU